AUCGCAGCUGAAACCGAACUGGAAACCGGUAAAAGAGUUAUCUAUUGCUGAAACAGAACUGAACGGAACCGAAAUACUUGCUUUUCUCCCAGUGGACCCAUCCGGAACUAAACUGCAAUAAAUCUGAACCAGUUACCGGGUGGCGAAACAGUUCAGGUUCCCUCACAGCCGCCCACAUCAUUUAAAAAAGUGUGUGGUGAAUGUCAGGCGAAAGGACUGGACGCCGUCGAGGACAUCAGUGGUCUGCAGCAAACAUUUUAAAGACAGGUGCUUCGACAGAACGGGGAAACCGUUGGACUGAGGCCUGACUCUGUGCCCAACAAGUUCAACUUCCCAGAACACCUCCAGAAAUGCUACAGCAGUAUCGGACUGUACCACCUUGCCAAGGAAUAUACAGAGAAGGUGACAGCCAAGCCUCAUCUGCAAAAGAAAUAGUCAAGGUUGAUCAUAUUCAACAACCAGUAAUGCACUCUGCCCACUUACCUAGUUGACUGCUUCAAACUUGCUGUUGCAACUGGACUUUGAUGUUGGAGCGUUCACCACAAGACCUUGCUACUUAGCCUUGUUAUGACUUAUUCACUCUACCUCUAGUCAUUUUGAACAGUCUUUACCGCCAUUUACCUCCCCAGUGCACAUAUUGCUAGUCGAUAUGUUUUUACCGUCAUAGAGCCUUUAUAUCACAUACUCAAUAUCAUUCUAGUCCUUUGGAAGGGCUCUAGUGCCGUUCAGCAUUUUGUGUCAUAACUAGUCAUAUCGAAACUUCCUGUGCAAAGCAUAAUGUUUACACCCAAGCAUAUUAAGGUGGUUACAUAAACAAAUGUGCCAAACAUUGCUGAAUGCUGAGAAUACUGCUCCCUGGAACUCCAUACCCCCGAGCAGAAAGGAAAUGGGAGAAACACGAGAAGCAACACGCUGAUAGACGACAAAGAAAACGUAACACAACAAAUACAACACCACACACAACCAGAAAUCACAUAAUCGAAGUUCAAAGUACAAAAUUGGAACGACUCGACCUCACACGAGUACGAAAUAGACAGGAAAUAACAUGCAUGUGACGGGAACGGGAAAAACGUAAGGAAUCCAAUCACGAGGGAUUUCUGCAGCGACCCGUGGCAAAAUUUUAGCGAAGCAGCAAGGGAAGCGCUCACAAACAGCAAAACUUGUCACAGCUUACAUGCAUUCCAAUGGGCUGUAAUGGCUCUUUUGAGCACCGCGAUGUGGUGGCCGCUUGGCGUACCCUUUCCCGCAAUACCCGCACCCAUCCGCUAUCCAGCCUUUAUACAUAGAGAUCAGUGGGACAGCUAGAGGUGUACGCCACGCCGCAACCGCCGUGCAAUUUUUACUCGCCGCCGCCGCCGAGUCGCCUGAAUCGGCGCGCCGAUGUCGGUGAAGAAAAUUUUAAUUUUUUCCUGCGGGUUUUACAAGUCAACAGGGUGAAAACAUGAGUUCCUGGGAAUAAUAUUGCGACUGUCCCAUAGACCGUCCAGUUAUUAUGGCGAACUGGAGCUUCAACGCUGAGCAGCAAUGAAACAGCAAUGGUAUUGGCACCGCUAGCAAAAGAUGAUGGCAAAUUCGAGGAGUGCAUUGGCAGACACGGAGUAAAGAUUAGGAGAAAGAAGACAAACAUGCUAGUGUGAAGUCUCCCUCAAAAAUGCCCAUACCAAGUUCGCGAUUUCGCGUGACACUUUAGGCAAGGUUGUGUGGGGUUGGGUUAGGUUAGCCAAACCAAAUCAGCAUAUCGCGUUGCAUAAGGGUGGAAUGAGUAAAUGUUAUUAACAUAUCCUAAUAAACUUGAUAUUUGAGAAACCGACAGCGGACUAUUCCAAUGUCCGAUUUUUAACAAUAGCUGUAGUGGUUCUACUUUUAGCUCAUUUACAGUUUCGCUUUUUUUUCUUUAUAUCUGUUCACGUUAGGGCUUCUAUAUAGCCAUCAGAAACUGUAAUAACGGAUUCCUGAGCAUUCCUAUUAAAGCGCGCACGCUGGAAGCAUUUAUGUGCGACGCGACCAGCAUAAAUACAAAUAUUGAUAUGAAAAUGCGGCGUGGUGACCUACGAAGUGUCUGAAAUAAAUUUGAGGAGAGAUGUUCAGUGCACCGCACUGACUACGUUUUUAAUCUGUUAUGGGGAAUGAUUGACUGUUGUAUAAUAGAGACGGCGCAUCAGUUUCAACGACGGUCUUUCGAAAUAAUGCAACUAGUUUUCACGUGCCGAACAUGCAGAACCCACAUCCAGAAGAUGUGGGUUCGAGCUCUACAGCUGGCUAACCUUUUCAGCGAGUUUCAUCUUUCAUACUUUUCACAUUUCUGAGUUGGUGUUAUAUCUUUUGUGGAAUUAUAUCUUUUAUUAUAUGUAUUAUAUCUUUUGUGGAGUUAUAUCUUUUCUGCACUUCGAAACAUCGUUGGCAUAAAUAAUCAUUUCGUGCCUCGAGUAAAGCCUGUUAUGGUUCGUAUCAAUGGAAAAAGAAUCUCACAUAGAGGCGAAUGCAGUCAGUAAAAAUGUUAUUUGACUAGAGUGACUUAAAAAUGCUCUUUUAUACACAUUGAGAUUGCCGGCAUCAUGCCUCCGAGAAAGACAGAAAAUGCAUCCCAUCUCAUAACCACCGCAACUGCCGGCAAUCGCUCUCCCGCCUCCUGCUCCUCGCGGGACGCGUAAGUGUCGUCUGAUGAAAGUAGGUACGUUUCUCGUGCACAUGGCAAUUCCGUUUCGUUAGACUCUUGCAUUUUGUCGAAAUCUAUUAGGUUGACGGACACUAUACACUACCGGCCGACCGUGUUUGUGGAUACUUCAGUGUCUACAGCGCAGCAGACGCCGUCCGUCAAUAAUCAUACUUCUGCAAACAGUGCCCCGGCAAGGCAAUUGCCACAGAGGGACAUGCUACUGUUCUCUUGGAGACUGACAGUUGCGUGUUUGUUGCGUGUCUACACUCUUGGAUCUGGAGCAUAGGGUUCGCGAUGGAGUUUUAAUGAGACUUCAUGACUUUCCUGUUGGGGGUGGGAGGUCAGCAGUGUAAGCGUUGGUCAUGGUGUUUCCUGUUUCAGUUUUUCCAUGACAAAGUUAUGCUGAAUGGUGUAGUGCGACUCAAUAGGACCCCUGUAUUUUGUGUACAAGUGAUCUGAAGCAUGAGUUCUGCGUAAUCCGUCUUGUGUACGUUCUGCAUUUACUGUUUGCA